rnacentral:ribozyme from 1 species
CACCUGCUGCACGCACGCGGCGUCGGCCUGGAGCACCUCUGCGCCGCGUUCCUCGCGCUGGACAUCGGCAAGACCGCGUUCCGCGACACGACGCCGUUCCACCCGUUCGGCAAGGCCGCGUCCCGCGCGAAGAACCUCGCAAG